rnacentral:rRNA from 1 species
CUGGUUCAGGACGAACGCUGGCGGCGUGCCUAAUACAUGCAAGUCGAACGCGUCUUGGUUAAUGAUGUUAGGUGCUUGCAUUUAACUGAUUUAACAUUGAGACGAGUGGCGAACUGGUGAGUAACACGUGGGUAACCUGCCCUGAAGUGGGGGAUAACACUUGGAAACAGGUGCUAAUACCGCAUAACAACGAAAACCAUAUGGUUUUCGUUUGAAAGAUGGCUUCGGCUGUCACUUUUGGAUGGACCCGCGGCGUAUUAGCUUGUUGGUGAGGUAACGGCUCACCAAGGCCAUGAUACGUAGCCGACCUGAGAGGGUAAUCGGCCACAUUGGGACUGAGACACGGCCCAAACUCCUACGGGAGGCAGCAGUAGGGAAUCUUCCACAAUGGACGAAAGUCUGAUGGAGCAACGCCGCGUGAGUGAUGAAGGGUUUCGGCUCGUAAAACUCUGUUGUUGGAGAAGAACAGGUG